UAUUGGGCGUAAAGCGAGCGCAGGCGGUUGCUUAGGUCUGAUGUGAAAGCCUUCGGCUUAACCGAAGAAGUGCAUCGGAAACCGGGCAACUUGAGUGCAGAAGAGGACAGUGGAACUCCAUGUGUAGCGGUGGAAUGCGUAGAUAUAUGGAAGAACACCAGUGGCGAAGGCGGCUGUCUGGUCUGCAACUGACGCUGAGGCUCGAAAGCAUGGGUAGCGAACAGGAUUAGAUACCCUGGUAGUCCAUGCCGUAAACGAUGAGUGCUAGGUGUUGGAGGGUUUCCGCCCUUCAGUGCCGGAGCUAACGCAUUAAGCACUCCGCCUGGGGAGUACGACCGCAAGGUUGAAACUCAAAGGAAUUGACGGGGGCCCGCACAAGCGGUGGAGCAUGUGGUUUAAUUCGAAGCUACGCGAAGAACCUUACCAGGUCUUGACAUCUUGCGCUAACCUUAGAGAUAAGGCGUUCCCUUCGGGGACGCAAUGACAGGUGGUGCAUGGUCGUCGUCAGCUCGUGUCGUGAGAUGUUGGGUUAAGUCCCGCAACGAGCGCAACCCUUGUUACUAGUUGCCAGCAUUAAGUUGGGCACUCUAGUGAGACUGCCGGUGACAAACCGGAGGAAGGUGGGGACGACGUCAGAUCAUCAUGCCCCUUAUGACCUGGGCUACACACGUGCUACAAUGGGUGGUACAGAGGGCAGCCAAGUCGUGAGGCCGAGCUAAUCCCUUAAAGCCAUUCUCAGUUCGGAUUGUAGGCUGAAACUCGCCUACAUGAAGCUGGAGUUACUAGUAAUCGCAGAUCAGCAAUGCUGCGGUGAUACGUUCCCGGGCCUUGCACUCACCGCCCGU
rnacentral:rRNA from 1 species